UACGGGGGGGGUAAGCGUUGUUCGGAAUUACUGGGCGUAAAGGGCUCGUAGGCGGCCAACUAAGUCAUACGUGAAAUCCCUCAGCUUAACUGGGGAACUGCGUGUGAUACUGGAUGGCUUGGAUUUGGGAGAGGGAUGCGGAAUUCCAGGUGUAGCGGUGAAAUGCGUAGAUAUCUGGAGGAACACCGAUGGCGAAGGCAGUUCUCUGGGCCGUAACUGACGCUGAGGAGCGAAAGCGUGGGGAGCGAACAGG
rnacentral:rRNA from 1 species